rnacentral:rRNA from 1 species
UACGUAGGGUGCAAGCGUUGUCCGGAAUUAUUGGGCGUAAAGAGCUCGUAGGUGGUUUGUCGCGUCUGCUGUGAAAACUCAGGGCUUAACCCUGAGCUUGCAGUGGGUACGGGCAGACUAGAGUGCGGUAGGGGAGACUGGAAUUCCUGGUGUAGCGGUGAAAUGCGCAGAUAUCAGGAGGAACACCGGUGGCGAAGGCGGGUCUCUGGGCCGUAACUGACGCUGAGGAGCGAAAGCAUGGGGAGCGAACAGG